UUGGAAAUGCCAGCGAAGGGAAUGAUAUACAUCAUGCGAUGAAAGGAGAGUACAGAAAUAGUCACCAACAGCUAUGAAAUGCAGCUGCCUGCACAGCGGAACCAGGCAGCUCUUGAAUAGAACACGGCAGCGCCACCCCAGAGACGUGAGACCAACUCCUGCUCCCAAGCAAUUCUAAAGAAGAAAAGGAAGGAGCCAAAGGAAGAAAAGAAAGAAGGAAAGAAAGAAAGAGUUGUGGGUGUAUACAAAACAAAUGUGACUUCGCCACCAGCAAGUUGAUGCCCAACUAAGGAGGACAUUUUCCAGCACCCCCUUGAAUAUGGAGGUGUUGGGAGUCUUUGCAGAGGGCUGUGAAGUCAGCCAGAUUUGUUUUGUCCCAAAACAUCUGAGGACAGGAUAGAGAAAUGCCACACUCUCUCAGGAUGCCGAGUAAGUGUAGAAGCCGUGGCAGCUCCUUCAGGAUCCUCCGCAGUGGCUCCUGAUGAGUCAGUGGGCCCCUGUCCAAACUCUAAGGUAAGUGACCAAGUGACUUCUGAGUCUAAGACCCUUUAAGCUUUAUCUUUCUCCACAGGAAAAUGUCGUGUCUCCUGAAAAGGCAUGCUUCCUCUUUAACUGUAUCCCUCAUGGAGAGACCUAUGCCAUA